UACGUAGGGUGCAAGCGUUGUCCGGAAUUAUUGGGCGUAAAGGGCUCGUAGGCGGUCCGUCACGUCGGGAGUGAAAACUUGGGGCUUAACCCCAAGCCUGCUUCCGAUACGGGCGGACUAGAGGUAGGCAGGGGAGAACGGAAUUCCUGGUGUAGCGGUGAAAUGCGCAGAUAUCAGGAGGAACACCGAUGGCGAAGGCAGGUCUCUGGGCAUUAACUGACGCUGAGGAGCGAAAGCAUGGGGAGCGAACAGG
rnacentral:rRNA from 1 species